rnacentral:rRNA from 1 species
GAAUGCCAUAAUCGAAAGGGAGUUGUGGAUGCUUUGCUGAAGUGUUGCUGUGGGGGGCAGCCGGUCGGCCAAUUGACCCCUCGACCGGUCGAGCCUGCAGUGACGUCUAGAGGCGAGCUUCUCUUCCUGAGUAGAGUCGUUGCGGCCUGUUGACUGCUAAGCUAGGGCCUGCUAUGGGGAAUGCAGCCCGUGAUUAAAAGUGGAUUGAAAAAGCACACGGUCCUCUGGUGGACCUGGCUGGCAGUUGACAGCAAAAAUGGUGAGAACAAUCUGCUAGUUGGAAUGCUAGGCACAGGUGUGUCCGAGCCGACUCUGAAGGACCGCAGCUGGAGGGGAUCCAGUCUGUGCGAAUGAAGUUUCGAUAACUCUGGACUGGAUUGAUUCUCGGUCGCAGCGAUGUAAACGGGAUCUUCUCCCG